rnacentral:lncRNA from 1 species
GCAGUUAAGAAGCCUGGAUUCCGUCACUAAUGUACGACAAAAACAAAAGUAGAACUUCAUUGAUUGGUCCAUAUUUUCUUUUGCCUUUCCAUGUUUUCGUUUUAUUAGAAGAAAAAAGACUCAGUGCUUUGAUAGUUACUUGGAUGGAUAGAUAAUUAAAGCUAAAGGAGAUUUGCUUGGUGUAGAAAAAGUGUGGAAAGUUGGCAGUCCGGACGGUUCAUGCAUUUGCAGAAUUUUCCUCCCGGUUACAAGAUAGAGCAAAGAAAUUUCAGUGCAGAAAAAUGAAGCCUUAUAUUCCAAUUUUUUUCCAGCUAUGUGAAAGGUAAGUAAACAUUAUUAAACAUCUAGUCAUAAUUAUUUAUUUUUAAAAUGUACCCUACGGGUAUGUAAAUUAAUAUAUGAAAAAUAUUUUAAAAAAUAUGGUAACUUCAAAACAAUAUAUCAAAAUAAUUUGAUAUCUAUAUGUACCAGAAGUAGAAAAAAAAAACAACAAUGCUACUGGUUGGCACUAAAAAUCCUGUUAUGAACAACAUAGUCUGGGCAAAGGAAUCCUUGUACACUUCAGUCUUCAACCUGCUAACUCUAUUCUCUUGAGCUUUCCAUUUUGCAUCCCUUUCUUAUCUAGAAGUUCAAGUCAAGCUAGCAUUGAGUUAAGAGUAAAUAAUAAUCACAGGUGAAAUGGCAAAAAUAUGUGUUGUUAGUUAAUAUCAUUCUCAAAUUCAAUCCUUCCAUAAUUCAUGUCUCAUACCAUACAAAUACUAAAAAUAUCUCAGCAUAGAUGAGAGCCAGGAUCAAAUCAAAGUUUGUGACAAAACUUGUCUAGAAUGAUGAGAAUUUACCUUGAAUCCUCCAUUUCAUGCAGUUUCCUCCCAUUUUCUUAUGUUGACGAGGAAAUUUUCCAAGUCAACUAAACUGUUGACACCAUUUUUUUGAUUGAAAAACGGGGUCGACUUGGGUUUUGAAAAUGAAAACGGGAGUCGCCACCAGUCUUUUUUAUAAGGUGUUAUUAGAUCACCUUGCAAAGCGGUUGUUUUUAAUAAACAAUUUAAUUUUAUUAAAACAACGAUUUUGGUCCACGAAAUUUAAAAAAUGGGUUCGGGAGUCGGUUACGCACGAGGAAGGAUUAGCACCCUCGAUACGCCCAAAAUUGGUACUUAGUUGAUUACUUAAAAAUUUUUUAUUUUCGUUUUUUGGCAAAUGUAUACUGUUUUUUUUAUAUAUAUGUAAAUAUAUGUAUAUAUAUAAAUAUAAAAAGAACAGAUGCAAAAAAAGAGAUGUGAAAAAGAAACCUUGAAACUUGUUUUUUUUAUUUCUUUUAAAGUUCUUGUACCAAAAUCUAAAAAAAAAACCCCUAAAAUACAUUUUUCGUUGGCUUUUAUAGCCAAUCUUUGCUACCGUUUCUUGUCUUUUCUUCUUUGAUUUUACAGGUGCAAGUGGGCGGUGGAAGGCAAGUGAUGGGACAGUGGCGGUGGCACUAGGUCGGCGACCAGCAGGGCAGAGAAGACCCUAGGUGCAGCGCACCUAGGGUUUGAAAAAUUUUAAUUUUUUGUUUCUGAUUUGGGUUUCUGGGCUAGGGUUAGAUUUGGGCUUAUUAAGCUUUUUGUUUUCUGAUUUGGGCUGUGGUGUAUUGGGCUAGGCUAGUUGGGUCUGGGGCUGUUUGGUUAGGGUAAUGGGUUGUUUGUAAUUGGGCCCCGGGUCAAAAAUUGGGCCUUACAUAAACUGUUCAGUAAAUAAAAGAUUAAUGAUGCGAUCGGUCUUAUUAAAUCGUUUCAAGAUUUUUUUUAGUGGCAAUUACUAAUUACAAGUGGAAACACGAAAGGAAACUCAAGGUAGCAGAUACAAGACAACCUUGAGUUUGAGUUGGUAUGCACGAUAUUGCCGAGAUAUUAUAUGAAGGGUACUAAAAUUAUUUUAAAAAAUGUUUCUUUUUGGGACAAUCAAAUAUUAGUUUUCAGCUUUAAAUACUUGUAAUCAAUAAUAAAUCCCUCGGAGGUUUUGCAGGUCGAUAUUAGAUGGUCUUUGUUUAUGAGGUUGAGCCUGCAAGGUAUGGAAACUUUGUUUAUAUCCGAUUUCCAGUGAUGGUGAUGAUAAAUUAGCUGUAAUCCCUAAACCUGGAAUGGCCAGAUAGUGGUGAAAUGAACUUUUGGUAGCUUUG